rnacentral:rRNA from 1 species
GACGAACGCUGGCGGCGUGCUUAACACAUGCAAGUGGAGCGACGAACCAGGGCUUGCCCUGGGGCAGAGCCGCGAACGGGUGAGUAACACGUGGGGAACCUACCCCGAAGACUGGGACAACCCGGGGAAACUCGGGCUAAUACCAGAUGUGGUCCCACUACAUAAGUGGUGUGACUAAAGGAAGCUUCGGCCUCCGCUUUGGGAGGGUCCCGCGGCGCAUUAGCUUGUUGGUGAGGUAACGGCUCACCAAGGCUUCGAUGCGUAGCUGGUCUGAGAGGACGAUCAGCCACACUGGGACUGAGACACGGCCCAGACUCCUACGGGAGGCAGCAGUGGGGAAUCUUGCGCAAUGGGCGACAGCCUGACGCAGCAACGCCGCGUGGGGGAAGAAGGCCUUCGGGUUGUAAACCUCUUUCAGGAGGGGCGAAGCUUUGCCGGUGAAUAGCCGUGUGAAGUGACGGUACCUCCACAAGCAGCCCCGGCUAACUACGUGCCAGCCGCCGCGGUAAAAC